GCCUGGCUGGCUCAGUCGGAAAAGCAAGUGACUCCUGAUCUCAGGGUUGUGAGUUCAAGCCCCACGUUGGGUA
rnacentral:tRNA from 1 species